CUUUUCAGUUCCACUCAAGUCUUCAAUGUUUGGAGGAGGAGCCUGAUUAUGUAUUGGGUUUAGGCCUCCAAGGACUGCUUGGAGGAUCCUUCCAGUUCCACUCAAGCCUCGAAUGUUUGGAGGAGCGUGAUUAUGGUGCGGGUCUGGACCUCCGGGAACUGUUGGGAGCUUUGGUCCACCGCUAAGGAGCCUGGAGUGCCCAUCAGCUCUUGCUCCAAGACUAUUAUCAAGAGCCAAUGCAAACAUCAGCACAAUACAAAGUGCUACUUUGGGCCCCAUAUCUCUAAUCAACACUUUGU
rnacentral:lncRNA from 1 species